AUGGCGCGGGGACUUUGCCGAGUGUCGGACGCGGACCCUCGGCAAAAAUUCAAACUGUGCCGAUGCUACCUCUACCUUGGAUUAGCUCUCGUCUCGCUGCUCGUCAUCAUGCUGGGCAAGCGCUGCCGGCGCUCCGCCAUGGCGAACGGGCACGGCCUGCGCCUGCCACCCGGGCCAUGGCAGCUGCCAAUCAUCGGCAGCCUGCACCACAUGAUCGGCAAGCUCCCGCACCACGCCAUGCGUGACCCUCGCGCGGCGCCAUGGGCCGCUCAUGCUGCUCCGGAUCGGCGAGGGUGCCCACGCUGGUGGUGUCGUCCCGGGAGGCGGCGCGAGAGGUGAUGAAGACGCACGACACGGUGUUCGCGACGCGGCCUUUGAGCCCCACCUUUCGCGCGCUCACCAACGGCGAUCGGGGAAUCAUCAUGGCGCCCUACGGGGCACACUGGCGGCAGCUCCGCCGGAUCACCACCACCAAGCUCCUCAGCGCGCGCCGCGUUCUCUCCUUCCGCGCCGUCCGCGAGGAGGAGGCCGCCGCCAUGCUGCGCGCGUGCGCCGCCGCUGCGGCGGGGGUCUCGCGCCGUGGACAUGCGCGAGCGGCUGUCCGCGCUCAUCACGGACACCACGAUGCGCGCCGCGAUGGGCGACCGGUUCAAAGACCGCGAGGUCUUCCUGCGUGCGCUCGACCGCAUCAUUGUGCUCGCUGCCGGGUUCAACAUGGCCGACCUGUGGCCGUCCUCCCGGAUCGUCAGCCGGCUCAGCGGCGCCGUGCGCCACUGCGAGGAGAUCCGUGACACCACGUUUCGGAUCCUCGACGGCAUCAUCGAGGAGCACCUGGAGAAGAUGGGCAACAGAGGUGGCGGCGAGGUUGAAGACCUCCUCGACGUGCUGCUAAAGGUACAGCAGGACGGUGACCUGCCGAUCCCGCUCGACAUGGACGUCAUCAAACUCGCCAUCAGGGACAUCUUUGGCGGCAGCGAGACGACAGCGCCGACGCUGGAGUGGGCCAUGGCCGAGCUCGUCCAUAACCCCAAGGUCAUGGAGCGGGUGACGGCGGAGGUGCGGAACGCCUUCGCAGCGCACGGGUCGGUGCGGGAGGACAAGCUCGCUGAGGCGGGGCUCCGGUACCUGCCCCUCGUCAUCCUGGAGACGCUCCGGCUGCACACGCCGCUGCCGUUCCUGAUCCCGCAGGCGUGCCAGGAACCCUGCCGCGUGCUGGGCUACGACGUGCCGCAGGGCAUCACAGUGAUGGUGAACGCAUGGGCGCUGGGCCGCGACGAACAGUAUUGGCCGGGGGACCCCGACGCGUUCCGGCCGGAGCGGUUCGAGGCCGGCGGCGGAAGCGCAGCGGACUUCAAGGGCGCCGACUUCGAGCUCCUGCCGUUCGGGUCCGGGCGGAGGAUGUGCCCUGGCAUGGGCUUUGCGCUCGCCAACAUGGAGCUCGCGCUUGCCAGCCUCCUCUUCCACUUCGACUGGGAGGUGCCCGGCGCCGCCGAGCUCGACAUGACCGAGGCGUUCGGCCUCACCGCGCACCGGAAAUCCAGGCUCCUGCUCCGCCCCAUCCUCCGCGUUCCUGUGCCAGGCGUCUAGCCACCGCCGGCUCGCCGCCACCAAAGGAUGGAUUGCAUGCUGGGUUCAGACAGCCAGGAUUCGGGAAAUUGUUAUAGCCAGAACCUUAGCCUGUACGUGUUGGUUAGUGCGUGUCCAGCUAGUUGUUUCCAUUCUGUUUGGAUAAGGGGCACGAGCUCACGACCUGUGUGAUGCCGUGCAUGCUACUGUUAGGCGUGGCGAGAUUAGCUCGCUUCUGCCCGGGUCUUGGGCCACGGGAACGCUCUCGCGUACGGCGUCGUGGGGAUGGACACGACAAUGCUGUGCCCGAGGAAUGCGCUAGGACUUUGCUUUACCUUGUAAUCACCAAAUAAAGGGAAUAUACAGCACCGGAAAAGCUGCAGCUUGUUUAUUUGCAGCACCAAA